GUCCACGCCCUAAACGAUGUCAACUAGUUGUUGGUAGGGUUAAACCUAUUAGUAACGUAGCUAACGCGUGAAGUUGACCGCCUGGGGAGUACGGUCGCAAGAUUAAAACUCAAAGGAAUUGACGGGGACCCGGCACAAGCGGUGGAUGAUGUGGAUUAAAUUCGAUGCAACGCGAAAAACCUUAACCUACCCUUGACAUGUCAGGAAUCCCGUAGAGAUAUGGGAGUGCCGCAAGGAACCUGAACACAGGUGCUGCAUGGCUGUCGU
rnacentral:rRNA from 1 species